GCAGUGGUGGUUCAAUGGUUAGAGCGCUGGACUAGGAAGUGGGAGACCAGGAUCAGUGGCGGAGCUGGGGGCAGCCGCGAUGGCACCCCACCAGGAUCGUGUUCCUCCGCCAGUGACCAGGGUUCGACUCCCCUUCCCUUGGCU